GCCCGUGUAGCUCAGUGGUAGAGCGCACCCUUGGUAAGGGUGAGGUCACGAGUUCAACUCUCGUCACGGGCU
rnacentral:tRNA from 2 species